rnacentral:lncRNA from 1 species
CUUGGCUCUCCAAGCUGCCGAGAAGUCCUUCUAUGAAGUUCUGAAUGAGAAUCAGCCUUCUUCCCCUAGCAGGUCUCCAAGUCCAACGACAACUUUUGGGGGUGAAACUUUUGAUAGCCCAAUAGAUGAUUUUGCUGGAAUCUGGCCUAAUCAUGUCAUUGAUCAUGUUGUUCCUCAUCAAACCAUUCAAUACAAUUUUCAGCCAACUUGCAUUCCUGGUGACAGUUUGGAUCUUAGUGUUGAUUACCUGGUGGACACUUGUCUUAGUCCUUCCCAAACUAUACAAUCCUCCACUAACAUCAAUACACAUGUAAUGCCUCAGUUGGGAGAAGAUGUUGAAGAAUGUAGAAUUGUCAAAUUCUACCAGAAUAAAAUGCCUAGCAUACUAGCUGCUGCUGGGGAGCAAUCAUCACAUCAUCAGUCAAGAAAGAAGAGUGCUAACCAUGAUCGAGAAGGCGGUGAUCAUGAUGAAGAUCGUCCUAC